UCCCUGGUGGCUCAGAUGGUAAAGAAUCUGCCUGUAAUGCAGGAGACCCAGGUUCGAUUCCUGGGUUGGGAA
rnacentral:tRNA from 1 species